UACGUAGGGUGCAAGCGUUAAUCGGAAUUACUGGGCGUAAAGCGUGCGCAGGCGGUUCCAUAAGACAGAUGUGAAAUCCCCGGGCUCAACCUGGGAACUGCAUUUGUGACUGUGGAGCUAGAGUACGGUAGAGGGGGAUGGAAUUCCGCGUGUAGCAGUGAAAUGCGUAGAUAUGCGGAGGAACACCAAUGGCGAAGGCAAUCCCCUGGACCUGUACUGACGCUCAUGCACGAAAGCGUGGGGAG
rnacentral:rRNA from 1 species